GACGUAGGGCGCAAGCGUUUGUCCGGAUUUAUUGGGCGUAAAGAGCUCUGUGAGCGGCUUGCCACGUCUGCCGUGAAAACCAGCAGCUUAACUGUUGGCUUGCGGUUGAUACGGGUUGGCUGGAGUUCGGUAGGGGAGACUGGAAUUCCUGGUGUAGCGGUGAAAUGCGCAGAUAUCAGGAGGAACACCGAUGGCGAAGGCAGGUCUCUGGGCCAUAACUGACGCUGAGAAGCGAAAGCAUGGGGAGCGAACAGG
rnacentral:rRNA from 1 species